UGGGGAAUAUUGGACAAUGGGGGAACCCUGAUCCAGCGACGCCGCGUGAGUGAAGAGGUAUUUCGGUAUGUAAAGCUCUAUCAGCAGGGAAGAAAAUGACGGUACCUGACUAAGAAGCCCCGGCUAACUACGUGCCAGCAGCCGCGGUAAUACGUAGGGGGCAAGCGUUAUCCGGAUUUACUGGGUGUAAAGGGAGCGCAGACGGCCAAGCAAGCCUGAAGUGAAAUGCAUGGGCUCAACCCAUGAAUUGCUUUGGAAACUGUUAGGCUUGAGUGUCGGAGGGGUAAGCGGAAUUCCUAGUGUAGCGGUGAAAUGCGUAGAUAUUAGGAGGAACACCGGAGGCGAAGGCGGCUUACUGGACGACAACUGACGUUGAGGCUCGAAGGCGUGGGGAGCAAACAGGAUUAGAUACCCUGGUAGUCCACGCAGUAAACGAUGAAUACUUGGUGUCGGGGAGAUAAACUCUUCGGUGCCGCAAGCAAACGCAUUAAGUAUUCCACCUGGGGAGUACGUUCGCAAGAAUG
rnacentral:rRNA from 1 species